rnacentral:rRNA from 1 species
GACGAACGCUGGCGGCGUGCUUAACACAUGCAAGUCGAACGGAAAGGCCCUGCUUUUGUGGGGUGCUCGAGUGGCGAACGGGUGAGUAACACGUGAGUAACCUGCCCUUGACUUUGGGAUAACUUCAGGAAACUGGGGCUAAUAUCGGAUAGGAGCUCCUGCUGCAUGGUGGGGGUUGGAAAGUUUCGGCGGUUGGGGAUGGACUCGCGGCUUAUCAGCUUGUUGGUGGGGUAGUGGCUUACCAAGGCUUUGACGGGUAGCCGGCCUGAGAGGGUGACCAGCCACAUUGGGACUGAGAUACGGCCCAGACUCCUACGGGAGGCAGCAGUGGGGAAUAUUGCACAAUGGGCGGAAGCCUGAUGCAGCAACGCCGCGUGCGGGAUGACGGCCUUCGGGUUGUAAACCGCUUUCGCCUGUGACGAAGCGUGAGUGACGGUAAUGGGUAAAGAAGCACCGGCUAACUACGUG